rnacentral:misc_RNA from 1 species
GAUGAAGAACGCAGCGAAAUGCGAUAAGUAAUGUGAAUAGCAGAAUUCAGUGAAUCAUCGAAUCUUUGAACGCACCUUGCGCCCUUUGGACAUUCCGAAGGGCAUGCCUGUUUGAGUAUCAUGAACACCUCAACUCUCACGGCUUGUCCGUGAUGAGCUUGGACUUUGGGGGUCUUGCCGGCCUGUGGUCGGCUCCUCUCAAAUGGAUCAGCUUGCCAGUGUUUGGUGGCAUCACAGGUGUGAUAACUAUCUGCGCUUGUGGUUUUCCAUCAGAUAACCUUCAGUGAUAUGGAGGUUCGCUGGAGCUCACAAAUGUCUCUCCUUAGUGAGGACAGCUCUUUGAACGUUUGAUCUCAAAUCAGGUAGGACUACCCGCUGAACUUAAGCAUAUCAAUAAGCGGAGGA